AGUGAACGCUGGCGGUAGGCCUAACACAUGCAAGUCGAACGGCAGCACAGUAAGAGCUUGCUCUUACGGGUGGCGAGUGGCGGACGGGUGAGGAAUACAUCGGAAUCUACUUUUUCGGGGGGGAUAACGUAGGGAAACUUACGCUAAUACCGCAUACGACCUACGGGGGAAAGCAGGGGAUCUUCGGACCUUGCGCGAUUGAAGGAGCCGAUGUCGGAUUAGCUAGUUGGCGGGGUAAAGGCCCACCAAGGCGACGAUCCGUAGCUGGUCUGAGAGGAUGAUCAGCCACACUGGAACUGAGACACGGUCCAGACUCCUACGGGAGGCAGCAGUGGGGAAUAUUGGACAAUGGGCGCAAGCCUGAUCCAGCCAUACCGCGUGGGUGAAGAAGGCCUUCGGGUUGUAAAGCCCUUUUGUUGGGAAAGAAAAGCAGCAGGUUAAUACCCCGCUGUUCUGACGGUACCCAAAGAAUAAGCACCGGCUAACUUCGUG
rnacentral:rRNA from 1 species